CGGCGGACGGGUGAGUAACGCGUGGGUAACCUGCCUCAUACAGGGGAUAACAGUUGGAAACGGCUGCUAAUACCGCAUAAGCGCACAGUACCGCAUGGUACCGUGUGAAAAACUCCGGUGGUAUGAGAUGGACCCGCGUCUGAUUAGCUAGUUGGUGGGGUAACGGCCUACCAAGGCGACGAUCAGUAGCCGACCUGAGAGGGUGACCGGCCACAUUGGGACUGAGACACGGCCCAA
rnacentral:rRNA from 1 species